UCGAAUAUAGUAUAAAAAAUACACUUUGCUUACACCAAAAAAAUAAUCUUUUUAUUCGAU
rnacentral:tRNA from 1 species